UUCUGGUUGAUCCUGCCGGAGGUCACUGCUAUUGGGAUCCGACUAAGCCAUGCGAGUCGAGAGGGUUCGGCCCUCGGCAGACGGCUCAGUAACACGUGGAUAAUCUGCCCUUAGGUGGAGGAUAACCUCGGGAAACUGAGAAUAAUACCCCAUAGAUCUUGGAUGCUGGAAUGCACUUAGAUUGAAAGUUCCGACGCCUAAGGAUGAGUCUGCGGACUAUCAGGUAGUAGUCAGGGUAAAGGCCUGACUAGCCUACGACGGAUACGGGUUGUGAGAGCAAUAACCCGGAGACGAUAUCUGAGACACGAUAUCGGGCCCUACGGGGCGCAGCAGGCGCGAAACCUUCACAAUGUGCGAAAGCACGAUGAGGGGAUCCCAAGUGCUUGCUCGUAAGAGUAAG
rnacentral:rRNA from 1 species